GACCAGGAACUACGCAACAAAAUCCCGUGAACUCCGUCAGGACCGGAAGGGAGCAGCGGCAGCGGGAAUCUUUGUGUGCCGUAAUCAUCCUGGUAGGA
rnacentral:SRP_RNA from 1 species